rnacentral:rRNA from 1 species
GAGUUUGAUCGUGGCUCAGGAUGAACGCUGGCGGCGUGCCUAAUACAUGCAAGUCGAACGAACAGAUAAGGAGUUUGCUCCUUUGACGUUAGCGGCGGACGGGUGAGUAACACGUGGGUAACCUACCUAUAAGACUGGAAUAACUCCGGGAAACCGGGGCUAAUGCCGGAUAACAUGUUGAACCGCAUGGUUCUACAGUGAAAGACGGUCUUGCUGUCACUUAUAGAUGGACCCGCGCCGUAUUAGCUAGUUGGUGGGGUAACGGCCUACCAAGGCGACGAUACGUAGCCGACCUGAGAGGGUGAUCGGCCACACUGGAACUGAGACACGGUCCAGACUCCUACGGGAGGCAGCAGUAGGGAAUCUUCCGCAAUGGGCGAAAGCCUGACGGAGCAACGCCGCGUGAGUGAUGAAGGUCUUCGGAUCGUAAAGCUCUGUUGUUAGGGAAGAACAAAUGUGUAAGUAACUGUGCAUAUCUUGACGGUACCUAACCAGAAAGCCACGGCUAACUACGUGCCAGCCGCCGCAGUAACACC